UGUGCUGGGCUAUGUUGGCUCUGUCUCCCUUCAUGUAAAACCUUGAAAUCUACAAGUGGGGAUUCACCUUUGAAUAUCCGGCUGCUCAUAUCCAGUUAGCUGGGCAACUGUGAGGUUCCAGUCUGCUUUAUUUGCACCUUCAGUUGCUGUCCGUUUACCAUUUGAAUCAUCAGGAUCCUGACCCUCCUAUGACAGAGAGCUGACCAUUUUUUUUUUUUUUUGGAGUACUCUUUUGGAUUUUGUUUUUAUGGACUAUUAUUUGCAUGUUUAUGAUUGUUCUCAUUACCAUUUUUGAUUUACCACUAUUGUUUUGAUGCUGUCAUUUAUGUCAUUAUAUACCUGUUAAAGAGCGCCCCCUUGAGGAUUUGUGUGUCUAGUACACAUUAUAUCUUCUUUUUUCUUAUAUCUUGAAAAUAUGAUUGUGCAUCAAAUUAAGAAAUUGCUGUAAGGGUGAUGGUUGGUGCAUGUGUUAUGUGCAGCAGUAUGUGAGAUCCUGUGUCCGCAGGGUCUUCAGGCUGUACUCGGCACUCUGUGUUCAGCGUGACACUAAAACCAUUGCAUCUCCUUUUCAUGGCGUGAACAUCAGUACCCAGUCACGUGAUGUUUCACGUAGCAGCAUGAAUGGAGUCCCUACUCUACUCGAUUGGCUGGCUUUUCAAACGAUCAAAAGCAUUUGCUCUUUUUGCAUUUUCUCCUAUAGUUUAAGAACUAUCCCCAUAUGACUCUAAUCAGUUAACCAUUGAAAUUAUAAAUACUUUGAAACCAUAAAAUGCUUUCCUUCACCAGCAAUUCUAUUGAAAACAAAGUACAACAAUUGCAGUUACCCAAAAAUGUUUAAGGAUUCACUGACUAAUAACAGUAUUGUAAUGUUUUAUUUAUAACAAAUUUUAAAUCAAUAUAUAGACUGUCUAAUAGAGGGAGCCAAACACCAGAUAUAGAAGCAGGCAAGAAAAUAAAGUAUUAAAAUAAUUAAUCAAACAUAUAAGAUUAGAGCAAAUAUACAUAGACUGUAGGUUACUAAAUGAAAGCAUACAAAGAGAGAAGCGCUCUACCAGGAACGAACAACAGCUCAGUGGCUUGUUCUAUGGCGAUUUACCACCCGGAGGCAGCCUCUUUUAGACCAGUGUGCUUUUCACAGAAGAAAACUAUCCUGAAGUAUAUCAGUCUGAUCCCGCCAAGUAAGGUCAGUCCAGCCCCGAAAUACCAGGCAAUUCUCCUCUGAACAAGGAACAUGACAACCCCAGAUGAUCGUUUCGGCCUCCUAUGGGCCUCGUCAGUGAGGUGCAGCCACAUUCCUCUAAGCACACUGGGCAAGGAGUCCACGUCUGGUUUCCCCCAUCACCCAUAGGUGAAAGGCUGGGGGACUUGGUUGGUUUUCAACCUGUGCUGUUCCAAUAUUUUAUGCUGAACUAAUGUAUGGCUAAUAAAAGACUAUUUGCUAGUUAA